rnacentral:rRNA from 1 species
UCUACGGGAGGCAGCAGUGGGGAAUCUUGCACAAUGGGCGAAAGCCUGAUGCAGCCAUGCCGCGUGAAUGAUGAAGGCCUUAGGGUUGUAAAAUUCUUUCGCCAAGGAUGAUAAUGACAGUACUUGGUAAAGAAGCCCCGGUUAACUUCGUGCCAGCAGCCGCGGUAAUA